UUGGGAGUGAGUUUACGA
rnacentral:siRNA from 1 species